rnacentral:rRNA from 1 species
AGUGAACGCUGGCGGUAGGCCUAACACAUGCAAGUCGAACGGAAGCACAGUAAGAGUUUGCUCUUACGGGUGGCGAGUGGCGGACGGGUGAGGAAUACAUCGGAAUCUACUUUUUCGUGGGGGAUAACGUAGGGAAACUUACGCUAAUACCGCAUAUGAUCUACGGGUGAAAGCAGUGGAUCUUCGCACCUUGCGCGAUUGAAUGAGCCGAUGUCGGAUUAGCUAGUUGGCGGGGUAAAGGCCCACCAAGGCGACGAUCCGUAGCUGGUCUGAGAGGAUGAUCAGCCACACUGGAACUGAGACACGGUCCAGACUCCUACGGGAGGCAGCAGUGGGGAAUAGUGGACAAUGGGCGCAAGCCUGAUCCAGCCAUACCGCGUGGGUGAAGAAGGCCUUCGGGUUGUAAAGCCCUUUUGUUGGGAAAGAAAGGCAGCAGGUUAAUACCCCGCUGUUCUGACGGUACCCAAAGAAUAAGCACCGGCUAACUUCGUG